GGUAGUUUAAUCAGAAUAU
rnacentral:tRNA from 1 species